rnacentral:rRNA from 1 species
AUUGAACGCUGGCGGCAUGCCUUACACAUGCAAGUCGAACGGCAGCACGGGAGCAAUCCUGGUGGCGAGUGGCGAACGGGUGAGUAAUACAUCGGAACGUGCCCAGUAGUGGGGGAUAACCCGGCGAAAGCCGGACUAAUACCGCAUACGACCUACGGGUGAAAGCGGGGGAUCGCAAGACCUCGCGCUAUCGGAGCGGCCGAUGUCAGAUUAGCUAGUUGGUGGGGUAAAGGCCUACCAAGGCGACGAUCUGUAGCUGGUCUGAGAGGACGACCAGCCACACUGGGACUGAGACACGGCCCAGACUCCUACGGGAGGCAGCAGUGGGGAAUUUUGGACAAUGGGCGCAAGCCUUAUCCAGCCAUGCCGCGUGCGGGAAGAAGGCCUUCGGGUUGUAAACCGCUUUUGUCAGGGAAGAAACGCUCCGGGCUAAUACCACGGAGUAAUGACGGUACCUGAAGAAUAAGCACCGGCUAACUACGUG